UGCACCUGGCCAAAGAGUCUACUGUUGA
rnacentral:piRNA from 1 species